rnacentral:lncRNA from 1 species
UCACCAGCACGGUCUGCGUUAAUCUUCUUGGUCUUCAGCCUUUCUACCAUGAGAAGAAGAUAAGCCACAUUGCUGCUGGCCCCAGAAAGAUGAGGCCUUAUGGUGCAGUUCUGACCCUGCACCAAAUUAGAGCCUGGACCUUAACCUCACAGGCCCAGCCCAGGAAAGACUCGCUGAGAGCAGCUCAGUCACUGUCACAUGGAAGUGGAAGGAUAUUUGUGCCUAUCAUGUGACACAGCAGAAAAUCUUCCAGACAAAAGAUUAGAACGCUUAAUUAAAUAAAACGCAAAGAGCACAAAGAAAGUGUAUGAAAGCGAUUUGGAAGUCAUCUAUCAAAAGGACACAGCUCAAGAUAUCCCAGGGAUGGUGUUUAGAUGGUAUUCCAUAUUAAAUCAUAUUUUUAUCU